rnacentral:rRNA from 1 species
UACAGAGGUCUCAAGCGUUGUUCGGAUUCAUUGGGCGUAAAGGGUGCGUAGGCGGCGCGGUAAGUCGGGUGUGAAAUCUUGGAGCUUAACUCCGAAACUGCAUUCGAUACUGCCGUGCUUGAGGACUGGAGAGGAGACUGGAAUUUACGGUGUAGGGGUGAAAUGCGUAGAUAUCGUAAGGAAGACCAGUGGCGAAGGCGGGUCUCUGGACAGUUCCUGACGCUGAGGCACGAAGGCCAGGGGAGCAAACGGG